rnacentral:lncRNA from 1 species
GAUAUUCCUGAUAAAAGUGAUCCCCUUGGCAUGCUGGAUAUUGAUAUUGACACUCCUCUGGCAGAACAUGAAACACUUCCUGUUGCUAAGCAUAGAGUAGUUAUGUCUAAACCGGCUGAUGUUAACGAACAGGU